UACGUAGGGGGCAAGCGUUGUCCGGAUUUAUUGGGCGUAAAGAGCGUGUAGGCGGCCAGGUAGGUCUGCUGUGAAAACUCGAGGCUCAACCUCGAGACGCCGAUGGAAACCAUCUGGCUAGAGUCCGGAAGAGGAGAGUGGAAUUCCCGGUGUAGCGGUGAAAUGCGCAGAUAUCGGGAAGAACACCCGUGGCUAAGGCGGCUCUCUAGUACGGUACUGACGCUGAGACGCGAAAGCGUGGGGAGCGAACAGG
rnacentral:rRNA from 1 species